GACAGCCAAGGAUCUGUGUGGCUCGUGGGCGCCGGAUGUGUUUUCACUUCGCUUGGGAAAAAAAAUCGUUACAAUUCCUCUGAUUUGAGUGUCCGGUGAUGUUGGAGCUAUAGUUUUGGAAUGUGUAUCACUGAAAACUUCGCAGAACUUUAGGACAUCAAACGACUUUGACAAUAUGUCUAAGGAAUAAUUCUGCCGCACUAAUUAGUUGUGGGAUGUGAAGCGUUGGCCACUCAGCAGAUUUCACGAUAAUCCAGUGUGGUUCAAUGAUGGGAUUUGUUGAGCUGCGUUGACUCCAACCAGUCUUGGCAUGACUAAAUAGUGGAUUGAAGUGGCAGGAGUGUUGAAACGAUGCUUCACAUUCUCCUAUGCUGACGACCAGACUUCGAUCGGAAAUUAUUUUAAUGAGGCAAUGCAAAUAGCAAAAAAGGGACAAAUAACCAGUGCUCCGAUAUGAAAGAGAAUUUAAUGAGUGGCCAUUAGUUACGACUAAGCGUGCACAUUUGAUCUUGCAAGAAGAGCAAUCCAAUCAGUGAGAAAAGAUUCAUUAAAAUGCAUGGAAACUGAAGGGAGAAACAUGGGCGUUAUCAGCACCCUUCGGAAAGGUCGAAUCAUAAAUUGAAUAUAAUGCCUCGAGGAGUAACGGCGGUGCUUGAAUGACAAAACAGGUGAUAUUUUCCGAAGAUUAAAUACAGACGGAGCUAAUCGGAAGCCAGCGAGCUUUUGUCCGCGGUGUGGAAAGUGAAUUUUGCUGUGCUGCAAGAGGGAAAACGUGAAAGUAACAAGUGUAAAUUUACAAGUUCACGGAAAAAGCUGUUGCAAGAUUUGAAGCGCACCUUGAGGGUGGGCUUUUACUGUGUUGGUGUGGUAAGGAUUAUCCCGUCUGAUGUAAAUUUUUCGCGUGCGUUUCUUGAACAGAUUUCAGCGAUGGUGUACCCCGGAUGUAUGGAAGAUUAUUCCAAGACUUAUUUUAGAAGAAUGUACGAGUGCACAAGUAAAGUGAUUUUUUAAGAUGCUCAUUCAAACAAAAGGCACUCAUUUGGACCAUCAUAUAGAUUCAGCGGAAAACCAUAUCCAGCGCUAGAUCAAACCGGAGAGAAAACUCAAAACUGCAAACACCAUGAGUUGAUGGCAAAUUAAAAUACUCCACGACGAAACCAUCUUGCGGCUUUCCACCCGUAACUCGAGGCGAUUGAAACUUCAGUUAACGAAUAGCGCACAACGAUACCCGAACAAAGCACCGCAGUGAAAGCCGUAAACACCAGCGGAAUUUAACGGAAAUGGUCUUUAAGCGAAAAGCGGGAAAAAUACGACGACCUUCCCAUUCCGGCUUAAACAAAGUGAAGUUUUAUUCAGUGUGUUUUUUUAUUUAGCUGCAUGCUAACAAGCACAGGUGGGCUGAUUUUUUGCUAAAAGUGAAGAUUGAUACAAACUGAGAAAAACUGUGUAUUGUAACAACACAAGCGGUAGUGUUAAUGGUGGAUUUCAGAAGAUUUCGUACAAGGGAGGGCAUUUUGAUGUUUCGGUGAUUUAAGCAUCAAUCUGAUAGUGAAUAUGGUUUGAAUAACGUGAAAAAAGCUGCUGUUGAAUGGGGAUAAUUUGAAGAAUUUGUGUUAUAACAGAAAAUGACAUGAAAAUAGAAGUGAAACACAUGAACAGUAAACAGUGAGUGCUGUUAGGCUGAAACCAGUGAAAAAAUAAAGAAAAAAGAAAAAGAAAUGUAAUUGUAAUGAGUUUUCUAAGACACUGAUCAAGAUCAAGGAUACACUCUCUGCUGUGGAUUAAGGAUAAGGCUGUGUCAUUUCUCCAUGAACAUGCUUAGUACAAGAUCGCCUCUAAAGCAUAAAUUAACAACAACAUCGCCCAUUAAAGCCAUCUGGUGAACAAUCUACGCUUUAAUUAUGAAAAAAGCCAAGCAAUACCCUACCAUCCCUUUGCAUUAGCGCACCGUUUGCAAUAGCAAUAGAAAAUAAGCUAACAAGUGCAGCCAACCCAGAAAUAUCAUCCACCGUAAAUCCCAUAAUUUGCCUUUUCUACCGGAAGUGUUUCUUAGCGUGAGAGUGUGCAACAGUGACACCAAUGACCCAGUUAAACCAUGUCCCGGCUUUUGCGGAAGCGCCAACAUCGUAGCGAGCAACAAUUGAAACAAACGGCGGCGUAACUCAACAAAUACCGGUGGCACAGUGUACCAGCGCUCGUCGUGAACUAUCAUGGAAAAUGUCUACGCAAAAGAGCUCGCUGACGAAAGCUACGAAACAAGUGCCACAACAGAGGCAGACGUUAUGCCUCGGGGCAUCUGCAAGUCUGUCGGAGGAAUCAGGAUGCCCAACAGAUCUAGCAGCACUCACAGCGUCCGGAUACUGUCCCCAACGCCAGUGGCCUCACCCACCCCUUCUAUCAGGGGACGACAUCCACCGCCGACGUCUCCUUCGCUGGCCACCCUCCCGUUGGCGGAGGUAGCAGUUUCCACAAUCAGUCUCUCGAUGAAGGAACCCAGCAUCCAGCUUCAGCAGCAGCAACAGCAGGACGACAAUCAACAGCAGCACAAAGAGCUGCCACCGACAUCGAAAAAGCUACAAGGAAACAGUACAAACACCAGCACCACUAUCCCCAGGAAGCCGAAGGUGGACUUUGUGCGCUUUGACUCAACCGAGAUUCAUUACACGGAUCACGAUGAGGUGCGGACGAAAAUUUCGGACGAGAU